rnacentral:lncRNA from 1 species
CAAUUAUUGUAUUUUUCAUCUCUUCUUGUUUAAGUUUUAUAUCUUGUAUCUCUUUGCUCAGUUGUUUCCUGUAAGUUAUCCUUCUUUGCCUCCAGUUUAUUUCCAAUGUUUUGCAUCAUCUUCAGCACCAACAAUGUAAAGUCUUUUUCCUGGAGGCUGACAGUCUCCUGAUCACUUAGCUGAUUUUCUGGGGUUUUUCCUUUCUCUCUCAUCUGAGUUAUAGUUCUCUGUCUUUUCAUUUUUAUAGGUUUUUGGUGUGGUGACCUUUUUCCAGAUACAAGAGUUGUAGCCUCUCUUACCUCUGGUGUCUGCCCCCCUUGCUGAAGUCGGUAUGGGGGGCUUGCUGUAGGCUUCCUGAUGGGAGGGGCUGAUGCCUGCCCACUGGUAGGUGGAGCUGAUUCUAAUCCCUCUGGUGGGUGGGGCUUAGUCUCUGGAUAGGAUUAGAGGGGGCUGUGUGCCUGAGGGGUCUUUAGGCAGCCUGUUUACUGAGGGGUGGGGUUGUGAUCCCACCUGGAUUGUUGUUUGCCCUGGGGCUUCUCAGUGCUGAUGGGUAGGGCCAGAUUUUCCCAAAAAGGCCACCUCCAGAGAAAGGCAUGCUGCUGAAUAUUCCUGAGAGCUUUGCUUUCAAUGUCUUUCCCUCACAACAAGCCACAUUCACCCCUGUUUUCCCAGGAUGACCUCCAAGAACUGCAGUCAGGUUUGACCCAGAUUCCUAUGGAGACCUUGCUCUGCCCUGGGACCCAGUGCACGUGAAAGUCCUUGUGCACCUUUUAAGAAUGGGUUCUCCAUUUCCUUCAGUCCCGUGGAGUUCCUAUGCACAAGCCCCACUGGCCUUCAAUACCAGAUGCUUCAAGGGCUCUUUCUCCCAGUGCCAGAUCCCAGCACAUGAGAGUUUGAUGUGGAGCUCAGAACUCUCACUCCUGUAGGUGAGUCUCUGUGAACCAGUUAGUUUUCAGUCUGUGGAGCUUCCCACCCAGGAGGUAUGGGAUUGUUUAUAUCGUGAAAUCGCCCAUCCUACCUCUUGAUGUGUCUUUCGGUUUUUCUUCUGGAGUAGGGUAUCUUUUUUAAGGUUUCCAGUCCAUUCGGGUGGAGAUUGCUCAGCUUUUAGUUUUGAAUUUUGCUGUUUUUAGGAAAGAAGUUGAGCUCCCGUCCUUCUCUUCCGCCAUCUUAAUCCUCUCUCCAGAAUAUACCUGUUAAUAACCUCAUUCACAUUGCCUGACUCGCUAAUCUGGGCACAAGGUAGCUUUAAAGAUAUCUUAGUUUUUCUCAGUUUAAUCCAUCUACCUUAGUAUUUUUUUAGUAUCUGUCUCUCUCUAUCUCUCUGUGUCAUGUUUUUCAUUUCUGUUUCUUUUCAAGUGACUUUGAACUAGGCAGAAAAUGCUUUUCAAGUCUCUGUGCCUGCCUCCAUGUUCUAUCUAUUUCAUUCACCCAGGAUUGUCCUUUCUGAAUUCUUUCUCUCAUUUAGCAGCCAUCAAUUGAACUUGGAUAAUGAAAGAACCUCAUUCCAUAAAGGACCAGAACAUUGUCUUAAGCAUACAAUUAGAAGGACUCAGUAAAUCAAAAUAUGAGCUAUGUGGAUGAAUUAUAAAGACAUUAUACUAAAUAAAUAAUCCAGACACAAAAGGAUAUAUAUUAUGUAUAUUUUUAUAUUGUAUAUAUAAUUCCAUUUAUAUGAGGUACCUUAAAUUAUCAAAUUCAUAGAGGCAGAGAGUUGAAUAGUGGUUACCAGAGGCUGGGGGUAAGGGGAUAGAGGACUUCUUAUUUAAUGGGUACCUCAGUUUUGGUUUGAGAAGAAGAAACAAAAUUUCUAGAGAUGGAAAAUAGUGAUGGCCACACAACAAUGUGAAUGUACUUAAUGCCACCAACUGUACAUUUUAAAAUGGUUAAAAUAGUCAGUUUUAUGUUAUCAAUAUUUUGUCAUAGCAUUAAAAAAAAGAAAAA